rnacentral:rRNA from 1 species
AACUCCCAACCCAAUGUGAACGUUACCAAACUGUUGCCUCGGCGGGGUCACGCCCCGGGUGCGUCGCAGCCCCGGAACCAGGCGCCCGCCGGAGGAACCAACCAAACUCUUUCUGUAGUCCCCUCGCGGACGUAUUUCUUACAGCUCUGAGCAAAAAUUCAAAAUGAAUCAAAACUUUCAACAACGGAUCUCUUGGUUCUGGCAUCGAUGAAGAACGCAGCGAAAUGCGAUAAGUAAUGUGAAUUGCAGAAUUCAGUGAAUCAUCGAAUCUUUGAACGCACAUUGCGCCCGCCAGUAUUCUGGCGGGCAUGCCUGUCCGAGCGUCAUUUCAACCCUCGAACCCCUCCGGGGGAUCGGCGUUGGGGAUCGGGACCCCUCACACGGGUGCCGGCCCCGAAAUACAGUGGCGGUCUCGCCGCAGCCUCUCCUGCGCAGUAGUUUGCACAACUCGCACCGGGAGCGCGGCGCGUCCACGUCCGUAAAACACCCAACUUUCUGAAAUGUUGACCUCGGAUCAGGUAGGAAUACCCGCUGAACUUAAGCAUAUCAAUAAGCGGAGGAAAAGAA